GCUUGUCCCCUGAGUGCUCCUUAAACAUACAGGGACCUCCAAGAAGAUUGCUUCUAAGCGUAUGGGGACACUGCAAAGACAGACCCGAUCCCCAAAAGUCUACACUCUGGAGAAGGGUGACACAGCCAUCCCCCAAUCUAAAGAGGACUCCUGGCUCAGGAAGUACUUCUGAGAUCUGUUUGAGAGUGUGUGAAGGUGACGGCAAUACAGCAGCAGAAAGAAUCUGUGCCUGCUUGUGCUAGUUCACCAAUAAACUUACUAUGACAUCGCAUAAGACCACAGAGAUACAAUACCAGGUA